rnacentral:lncRNA from 1 species
AAUAAAUAUUGGAAAUUCACAAUUUUUGGAAUUAAAUACCAAAAAUCCAAUUAGCACUCAAUUUGCAUAAUUUAACACUCAAUUGUAGAAAUUAACCACACCAUUGCAAUCAGCACGAAAUUCCGGUCACUGGCUAUCCCGGCCUAAUUUCCGGAAAAAUAAUUAAUAAUUAAAUAAUUACUGAAAUUAAUUAAAUAAAUCAAUUUAAAUUCUAAAAAUACUAACCUAGGCCAGAAUCAUUAAAUUAAUAACUAAUACGGACUCGAAAAAUUCCCGAACCCUUCUAGAUAAAUAGUAUAAUUUAUUUAGGCCUUAACUAAACCAUGCUAACCACCUAACAUGCUCAAUUAAAUAAUUCAAUUUCUAAUUUAAUCUAACUAACCACCUAAUUCCUAAUAAAAUAAAUCUAACACCCCUUAAACGUUAUUAGCCUACUAAACAGAGUUUAGAGUAUAAACUCAUCGGUUAAUUGCAGAAACCGGUUCACCGCGACGACGACACGAAGACGGCCGAAAUAUGAAUUUUUGGCGGUGUCAGCGAACUCUCGGACCGGGCCUAAAACGGGCCCAACACAACUCAGCAAGGCUGAGUUUUGGUCUUGGGCUUCUGCAGGGCUGCUGGUCGCGGGCUUGGGCUUUCUUCGAGGGCCCAAAAUGGCUGAACUUCAAAUGGGCUAAAAAUCAACUGAGCUUGGGCCUGAGCUUGGGCUUUAAAAUCUGCUGGAGAAGGGCUGAAAAUCACUGGGCUGAAGAUGGGCUUGUGGUUGAAUUCGUGGGCUGUUGAUGCGGGCUGGAUACGGGCCCAAUUGCUGGGCCGUGAUGCUGCGAAGGUGCGGGCGUGCGAAAGAGCUGUGGUUCAAUGAAACCAGAGCCUGGCGGUGGGAUGUUGACCGAGAGACAUGCUGUUUCGAUCACGCUGGCAUCACCGUUGGGACUGGCUUCGUGGAGAUGAAGACUGCUGGGCCGAAUCUCGGCCAAAUGAUUGCCGAACUUGCGAGUGAAGGAGAGAGGAACGAUGGUGGGGUUUCGAUGGGUGAGGAUUUGUGGAGUUGAACUAUUCGGUUGAAAGAAAAAAAAUCGGUGGAGAGAGCUGCUUGGUCUUCGGAGAAGAUGCCGCAGACACGCGGCUUCGUUGGUGUGAAUGAAGUCAACAAGGUGGGCUUCGCUUGAAUGUUGACCGAGCAAGCAGCAAAUAAGGACGUGUCGUGGUUUGGAGAUGGGAGAAAAAUUGGUGUUUCGGUGGGUAAAGAUGGAGAGCUGUCGUGAAAGGAAAAAUGAAAAGAAAGCAAGGCAUAGACCGAAACAAAGGAGAAUUGGAUAAGGGGGAUG